AUGUUUGAUGUUCUAACGUGGACCCGUAAUCCGGGUUGCGGACAGUGUCUGGUGGGUAGUUUGACUGGGGCGGUCUCCUCCUAAAGAGUAACGGAGGAGCACGAAGGUUGGCUAAUCCUGGUCGGACAUCAGGAGGUUAGUGCAAUGGCAUAAGCCAGCUUGACUGCGAGCGUGACGGCGCGAGCAGGUGCGAAAGCAGGUCAUAGUGAUCCGGUGGUUCUGAAUGGAAGGGCCAUCGCUCAACGGAUAAAAGGUACUCCGGGGAUAACAGGCUGAUACCGCCCAAGAGUUCAUAUCGACGGCGGUGUUUGGCACCUCGAUGUCGGCUCAUCACAUCCUGGGGCUGAAGUAGGUCCCAAGGGUAUGGCUGUUCGCCAUUUAAAGUGGUACGCGAGCUGGGUUUAGAACGUCGUGAGACAGUUCGGUCCCUAUCUGCCGUGGGCGCUGGAGAACUGAGGGGGGCUGCUCCUAGUACGAGAGGACCGGAGUGGACGCAUCACUGGUGUUCGGGUUGUCAUGCCAAUGGCACUGCCCGGUAGCUAAAUGCGGAAGAGAUAAGUGCUGAAAGCAUCUAAGCACGAAACUUGCCCCGAGAUGAGUUCUCCCUGAGACUUA
rnacentral:rRNA from 1 species